CUAAAUCACUUUCGAUGAUGGAUGGAUAAAAUAAAUAUUUUUUGGUAAUCGUAUUCGAAUACCUAAUUAAUUACUAAAUCAUGUAGGUCACGUCUGAAUCUCUUAAUGAAAUUGGUUCCAUUUAUGUAUUGUACUUUACAUCCAUCAAGAUAUGGAUCUUAAAUGAUUGGCUAGAACGUUAUAUGUCUAACUAAUUUGAUAAUUAAUGAUAUUGCAUUACAGCCUAUUCCACACUCAGCUAAUUGGUUGUGUUGAUCUAUAUCAGCCCUCUAGCUGUUACAUAUGUAUUGAGUUUACUAUAUACAUUACGUAAAUAUGCAAAUUCAUAAGAAAUGAAGUCUACGUCAAGACUAGGUUAUGGAUUACGGGCAGUUUAAAAAACGAAGUGCUUGGGCUCGGAUAGAAGCAGCGUCUUUUACAACUUCUUUCUUACGAACACAAUAGUCAUACUGUACCUUAGUUAUGACUAAAAAGAGGCGCUAAUAAGCCUUUCAAAUAUUGUAUACAAAGUGAUUAUAUUAUGUCUGACUAGUGCUUCAACUUAAAAUAUUAAGAAAAUAAAAAUUUGUUUCCUAGUUACAGUAUAAAUGAUUUUAUUAUAUUGCACAUGACGUUAUUUUGUAGACUACAGCCUCGGGCCGUAUGUAACCGCAUGUAAACCUUAAAUUGUUUUAUUUAUCUGUCAUUCAUGUCGGGAUCGGUGGUCAAGUUGGGUACCUCGACCGUGACUACGUAAUACGACCGGCUUCUCACACUUCACUUGUCUGAAAGGGGCGUUAGUUAUUGUAACAUAACAGUCAUCAUAUCGACACAAUCAUCUCGCAAUCACUAUUAUUCUAUUAUGCAAAAUUUAUGGAACACUCUCACACACAUCAAAGGCAUAUAGGCGUUAAUUAAAUUUGGCUAUGCACGUAGCAUCAUUUCGCUAAACAUUAAGUUUGGUAUAGCAAACUAGAACGCAACUAAAGGUGACAGUCCAUUUCCAACUGCAGCUGCACUACCGUUGCGACAUUACUGGUGCGACAUUACUGCAGCGGCCGACUGCUGCUGUUUGCGGCGUGCAGUCGCGGCAGCGUUCGUCAGUUGAUUGCCAAAGUCAAUGAAUAAUGUCACUGUCAGACGUAUAAAUAAAAUUACUAAUUUACUUAUUUGUAUUUUUUACGAGAAGAAGUAAGUGACGAUAAUGCUACAUGGUACACGAAAACGAAAAACAGUUUGCCUUUCUACAAAAGUCACAUUCAGUCGAAGGCAGCUACGCAAUAUUAUUAAAAAAACCAGAUAUUGUUGGUGAUCGUUUGUUUGCCGAUUAAAUGAAUAACAAUUUAACUUCAAAUUGAAGAAAUACAACCAAAUUACUCAAAUUAAAUGAAUGCAGAGGAGAAAUAUUUCUUCACUUAAGGUGUCCAUGGGUGACGGCACUCGUGGUCGUGGCAGAUACAGUGUAUGACUAGACCAUAUAAAACUUGAUGGGCGAGACAAGAAAUCUUUUAUGAAGAAAGCUAUUUACGUUAGCCAAGGGGCUGAUAGAAAGAAUAUUUAAUAAAUUAAUUGGAAUAAUAAAUAUUUUCCUCGUGAUGGUGUGAUAAAAUAAAUUCGUGUUGCGCUCUGUAGCAAAGUUUGUUUAACCCUCAUGCCUUGAAGUCCCCGCAACUGUCAAUACAAUUUUAUUUUAAAACCGCUGUCGCUUCUCUUGUGGUUCAAUUUUGUAAUUUUUCUUACGUUUGAGUAUCCAUAUGCUACCAUGAGGUGUUAAACAACAACUUUGCCUUUUGUAUUUCUAGGUAAUACAACUGAAUUAUUGCUUCUUUUAUCUCAAAAAUGGCUUUGAAAUGACAAAGUGAGAAAGUGUCACGAUAUUAUACACCGUGGGCUGGUAAAACCUGAUAGUUUUAAAGUUGUAUUCUUAAUCG